rnacentral:rRNA from 1 species
CGGCGGACGGGUGAGUAACACGUGGACAACCUACCUAUAAGACUGGGAUAACUUCGGGAAACCGGAGCUAAUACCGGAUAAUAUAUUUAACCGCAUGGUUCAAUGGUGAAAGACGGUUUUGCUGUCACUUAUAGAUGGAUCCGCGCCGCAUUAGCUAGUUGGUAAGGUAACGGCUUACCAAGGCAACGAUGCGUAGCCGACCUGAGAGGGUGAUCGGCCACACUGGAACUGAGAUACGGUCCAGACUCCUACGGGAGGCAGCAGCG